rnacentral:rRNA from 1 species
ACGGAGGUGGCGAGCGUUGUUCGGAUUUAUUGGGUGUAAAGGGUUUGUAGGUGUCCUGCUAAGUCUUUCUUUAAAUCCCAUGGCUCAACCAUGGAUAAGGGGAAGAAACUGACGGGAUUGAGUAUUGGAGAGGGAGGCGGAAUUCCCGGUGUAAGGGUGAAAUCUGUAGAUAUCGGGAGGAACACCAGUGGCGAAAGCGGCCUCCUGGCCAAAUACUGACACUGAAAAACGAAAGCAAGGGGAGCAAACAGGAUUAGAUACCCUGGUAGUCCUUGCCGUAAACGAUGGGCACUAGGUGUAUCCCGAUUUAUUGGGGUGUGCCGCAGUUAACACAUUAAGUGCCCCACCUGGGGAGUACGGCCGCAAGGUUG